rnacentral:rRNA from 1 species
UACGUAGGGGGCAAGCGUUGUCCGGAAUUAUUGGGCGUAAAGAGCGCGUAGGCGGUCCGGUAAGUCGGUUGUGAAAGUCGGGGGCUCAACCCUCGGAUGCCGAUCGAUACUGUCGGGCUAGAGUCCGGAAGAGGCGAGUGGAAUUCCUGGUGUAGCGGUGAAAUGCGCAGAUAUCAGGAGGAACACCGGUGGCGAAGGCGGGUCUCUGGGCAACAACUGACGCUGAGGAGCGAAAGCGUGGGGAGCGAACAGG